AAUUCGACCGUUAGGGGAAAAAAAUAGAGAAAUUCGACCGUUGGCAAGAGUGAGCUCCUUGUAGCUAUAAAUAGAUAACAAUCCCAUUCUCCUAAUUCUAUCUCUCACUACAAAAUUUAUGAGAAAAAUGCUUCGAAAGAAAUUUCCUUAGAGUAGAGAAUCAACUGUAUUCCAUGAAGCAAGAGCCUUGAGAACACAAAAAAAGAUGGCGUGAAGACAUAUUGUUCCACAUCAACAACCCAGAAGGUGAAGCCAUGUGAGGGGGCAACAACAAAAUGCAGAAGCAGAGAAGAAGAAUUUAUGUGAUAGGAGUCUCUGUGGCCAAUGCCCCAAAAUGCAGCAGCAGUGGAGAAUUACGAGUUGUCUGCACUUAAACAUGGACUUGAAGAAGCAAGGUUAUCCAUGUACGAUCAGAGAAAAAGCUAAAAUUCAAAAAAGAGACAGCAGCUUGAGAUUCGCAGGCAUCCAGGCUGAGGGAUAGAGGAGUUCAGCCAUCGGCUUGAAGCAUUUGAAACUCGAGAAGAUUCAAGGGGCCGAACUCUCCAGAAUUGAAACAGAACAAAAGAGAUCAAAUGAGGUGGAGCAACUCAAAAUCUCAGAAUUUUUUCCUCAUUUUGUUUUGGUAUCCUGAGCAGGCACCGCUUUGGAGAACAUUGUCAAGGAAUGAAUCUCAGCUUGAGUUGCAGCAUACUGUUUUGAAUUCGCGUACUGGCUUUGAACUUUGAAGUCUGUUAUCGGCUUUUUACAUACUUAUCAGAUUAAUGCAUUAUUUAGAGCAGAAGCUCAUUUCAAAGAGCAUGUAUGAACUGGCUAAUAGAAUGUAUGUUUCGAUUACAUGGUAUGUUCCGAUUUCUGCCACGAAGUAAGUUCAUUACAAGGUAUGUUUCGAUUUCUGGGUUUUUGGUUUAAAUUACAAGCAGUUUCAUUUGAUUUUUGUUAUAUUUGAUAAACUGUUGUGAUAGACUUUGCUUUGUCACUAUUUCAAAUUUUUGUUAUUUGUUUUCAUCACUUUUUUCUCAGUUAAGGGCUUCAUCACUCGUUUCUUUCAUGUAAAACCAAUUUUUAUAUACUUCCUUCCCUUGUUUUUUUAAAUUAAUUUUUUUCUUUCAGGUAAUCGCAAGAUGGAUAUGAUAAAUUAGUUUUUAUUUGCUGCAAUGAAUUAUGAUUAGGAUUAAAAUUAGGAUUAUGAUUAGUAAAUAUUAUUAGGAUCUAUGAUAAGAUUUAGAACUAGGAUUAGGGUGAUUAAGGGUACGAUUAGUAUUUUAGGGUUUAAGUAUUAAGGACAAAUAGGUAGGAUUUAGAGUAAGGUUUAGAAUUAUAAGGAUUUAAGUUUAGGGUUUAUCAUUAGGUUAGGUAGGAUUUAGAGUAAGGUUUAGAUUUAAAGUUUAGGGUUUAUAUCAUUAGGAUUAUAAGUAGGAUUUUAGAGUUAUUAGAACAGAAUUAGGGUUAAAUAUUAGAGUUAGAUUUUAAAUUUAGGGUUUAUAAUUAAGAUAUAUAAGUCUUGUUCAGUUGUGGUGCUGAAUUUUACAUGAAAUUAGUGUCAAUUAUCAAGCAUUGUCCUGUAACUGAAUUUCUGAUUAUUGUCUGCUUUUCUCGUCCGAUCAUCAAGUUGUUCUUGGCAUUAUGACAUCCCAUCAUUUCCUGGCUACAAUUUCCAUUAGAGAAGAGGUUGAGCAGAGGAAAAAAAUUCAUGAUCGGCUCUUAUUAAGAUUGUUGAUUCAUUUCUCCUGCAACAAACCGACAUGGAGGAAGAGUAUUUGUGCAAUAUAAUGUUUUUGCCAUUAUACAUUUUUAUAGGCACCGCUUUGGAGAAAUUGAGUUGCAGCAUACUAAAAUUCGCGUGCAACAAUGUUUUCGGGUGUUUAUGCAUGUAUCAAUCAACGGAGAGAACUGUAUUUUUCAUAGAUGCUUUGAGCCUGCAUAAUGUUUAAGUAGUUAACAUUUUCUUUUAGCUUGCUGGUUUUUUGUCUGACUAGUUUUAAAAUGCUAAACAGGUGAAGCCAUACGAAUUCAUGUGAUAGGAGUCAAUGCCCCAAAACGCAGCAGCAGCGGAGAAUUACAAGGUCAUGGUUUGUUACAUUUUGAAUGUUUAUACUCUGCAGCUACGACUUGACCGCAGCUUCCACCCUCUCUUCGUCAUCUCCGACUCUUCCUCUUCUCAACCGCCGGUGAGAGUCAGAAACCUGUUAAUGGCUUAAGUGAGACUCUUGAGCUUGAAUCGUUGUUUAGCCUUUGUUGUUGAGUAUAAAUUACCGGUGG